GGUGGUGCGCAGCAGGAGGGGUCCGCGUCCGAUUAGCUGGUUGGGGGGGUAACGGCCCACCAAGGCGACGAUCGGUACCUGGUCUGAGAGGAUGAUCAGGCAGACUGGGGCUGAGAACGGCCCAGACUCCUACGGGAGGCAGCAGUUAGGAAUUUUGGGCAAUGGGCGGAAGCCUGACCCAGCAACGCCGCGUGGGUGACGAAGGCCUUCGGGUCGUAAAGCCCUUUUCUGGGGGACGAUGAUGACGGUACCCCAGGAAGAAGCACCGGCUAACUACGUGCCAGCAGCCGCGGUAAUACGUAGGGUGCGAGCGUUGCCCGGAUUCAUUGGGCGUAAAGGGCGCGCAGGCGGCCCCGUGCGUCACGCGUGAAAUCUCCCGGCUCAACUGGGAGGGGUCGCGUGAUACGGCGGGGCUGGAGCGAGGCAGGGGACCGCGGAAUUCCCGGUGUAGUGGUGGAAUGCGUAGAGAUCGGGAGGAACACCAGUGGCGAAGGCGGCGGUCUGGGCCUGAGCUGACGCUGAGGCGCGAAAGCGUGGGGAGCGAUCCGGAUUAGAUACCCGGGUAGUCCACGCCGUAAACGAUGUGCACUAGGUGUCGGGGGUAUCGACCCCCUCGGCGCCGGAGCUAACGCAUUAAGUGCACCGCCUGGGGACUACGGCCGCAAGGCUAAAACUCAAAGGAAUUGACGGGGGCCCGCACAAGCAGCGGAGCGUGUGGUUUAAUUCGAUGCAACGCGC
rnacentral:rRNA from 1 species